GUGGGGAAUCUUGCGCAAUGGGCGAAAGCCUGACGCAGCCAUGCCGCGUGAAUGAUGAAGGUCUUAGGAUUGUAAAAUUCUUUCACCGGGGACGAUAAUGACGGUACCCGGAGAAGAAGCUCCGGCUAACUUCGUGCCAGCAGCCGCGGUAAUACGAAGGGGGCUAGCGUUGCUCGGAAUUACUGGGCGUAAAGGGCGCGUAGGCGGACAGCUUAGUCAGAGGUGAAAGCCCAGGGCUCAACCUUGGAAUUGCCUUUGAUACUGGCUGUCUUGAGUUUGUGAGAGGUGCGUGGAACUCCGAGUGUAGAGGUGAAAUUCGUAGAUAUUCGGAAGAACACCAGUGGCGAAGGCGACUCACUGGCCCAAUACUGACGCUGAGGCGCGAAAGCGUGAGGAGCAAACAGGAUUAGAUACCCGUGUAGUCC
rnacentral:rRNA from 1 species